GACGAACGCUGGCGGCGUGCUUAACACAUGCAAGUCGAACGGAAAGGCCCUGCUUUUGUGGGGUGCUCGAGUGGCGAACGGGUGAGUAACACGUGAGUAACCUGCCCUUGACUUUGGGAUAACUUCAGGAAACUGGGGCUAAUACCGGAUAGGAGCUCCUGCUGCAUGGUGGGGGUUGGAAAGUUUCGGCGGUUGGGGAUGGACUCGCGGCUUAUCAGCUUGUUGGUGGGGUAGUGGCUUACCAAGGCUUUGACGGGUAGCCGGCCUGAGAGGGUGACCGGCAACAUUGGGACUGAGAUACGGCCCAGACUCCUACGGGAGGCAGCAGUGGGGAAUAUUGCACAAUGGGCGGAAGCCUGAUGCAGCAACGCCGCGUGCGGGAUGACGGCCGUCGGGUUGUAAACCGCUUUCGCCUGUGACGAAGCGUGAGUGACGGUAAUGGGUAAAGAAGCACCGGCUAACUACGUG
rnacentral:rRNA from 1 species